rnacentral:rRNA from 1 species
AGAGUUUGAUCAUGGCUCAGGAUGAACGCUAGCGACAGGCUUAACACAUGCAAAGUCGAGGGGGCAGCAUGAUUUGUAGUCAAUACAGAUUGAUGGCGACCGGCGCACGGGUGAGUAACGCGUAUGCAACUUACCUAUCAGAGGGGGAUAGCCCGGCGAAAGUCGGAUUAAUACCCCAUAAAACAGGGGUCCCGCAUGGGAAUAUUUGUUAAAGAUUCAUCGCUGAUAGAUAGGCAUACGUUCCAUUAGGCAGUUGGCGGGGUAACGGCCCACCAAACCGACGAUGGAUAGGGGUUCUGAGAGGAAGGUCCCCCACAUUGGUACUGAGACACGGACCAAACUCCUACGGGAGGCAGCA